GCUGGGGCCAUAGCUCAGUGGCAGAGUGCUUGCCUAGCAUGCAUGAGGCACUGGGUUCGAUCCUCAGCACUGCA
rnacentral:tRNA from 1 species